CCUACGGGAGGCUGCAGUCGAGAAUCAUUCACAAUGGGGGAAACCCUGAUGGUGCGACGCCGCGUGGGGGAAUGAAGGUCUUCGGAUUGUAAACCCCUGUCAUGUGGGAGCAAAUUAAAAAGAUAGUACCACAAGAGGAAGAGACGGCUAACUCUGUGCCAGCAGCCGCGGUAAUACAGAGGUCUCAAGCGUUGUUCGGAAUCACUGGGCGUAACGCGUGCGUAGGCUGUUUCGUAAGUCGUGUGUGAAAGGCGCGGGCUCAACCCGCGGACGGCACAUGAUACUGCGAGACUAGAGUAAUGGAGGGGGAACCGGAAUUCUCGGUGGAGCAGUGAAAUGCGUAGAUAUCGAGAGGAACACUCGUGGCGAAGGCGGGUUCCUGGACAUUAACUGACGCUGAGGCACGAAGGCCAGGGGAGCGAAAGGGAUUAGAUACCCUUGUAGUC
rnacentral:rRNA from 1 species